rnacentral:rRNA from 1 species
CAGAGGUCCCAAGCGUUGUUCGGAUUCACUGGGCGUAAAGGGUGCGUAGGCGGUCGGAUAAGUCUGAUGUGAAAUCUCCGAGCUUAACUCGGAAAUGGCAUUGGAUACUAUUCGGCUUGAGGUCUGGAGGGGGGACUGGAAUUCUCGGUGUAGCAGUGAAAUGCGUAGAUAUCGAGAGGAACACCAGUGGCGAAGGCGAGUCCCUGGACAGGUCCUGACGCUGAGGCACGAAAGCUAGGGGAGCAAACAGGAUUAGAUACCCUGGUAGUCCUAGCCGUAAACGGUGUGUAUUUGCUGUAAAAGGAAUCGACUCCUUUUGUGGCGUAGCAAACGCGUUAAAUACACCGCCUGGGAAGUACGGUCGCAAGAUUA